CAGCAGCCUCUCCUCCGUUGUGCCUGCCUAGAGUGCCUGCCUGCCCGCGUCAGCGCGGGGUCUCCCGUGUACCCUAAGAAUCCGGGCGGGCUGGAGCUGGAGGCGGGCCCGGCGGCUGCUUCCUCCACCGGUGCGCAGUCCCAGGGCGGCCCGUGCUGACAGAGAAACCCUCCGCUCCGGACCGCAUUAGGCAGCAAGGCAAGGGCGCAGCCCCUGUAGCCUGUUUUGUCUUUGCAAGUCGUCUUAGCCGUGGAGGCACCGUCCGUCUGCGUCACCUACCUCCAGCACGUCCGCUGCCCCUAAGUGGCACCCGCUGUUCCUGAUCAGUUUCGAUGCUGGAAUGUGAGAGAUCAGCGGAAAACCCCUGCCCCAAAGUCACGGCUCCCGCCUGUUUCUGGAAUUGCCCAAUUUCUAGUAUUUCCAGCCCCAAGUAGUCGAAAGUCAUGAGUCAGGCCGCAGAAAAUCCUGAGUGGCUUAAAAAUCACGGGCCUUUAAAAAUAAUAGAAUAAAAGAACCCAGUGGGUGCUUUUUGUUUUCCUUCUGGUUCUUGAUCCUUUGCAAGCAGGUCCCAUUUUCAAGAUUUUCUCUGCAAGCCCAAGAAGUACUCUUUUAUUUAAUAAAUACAAAAAUAAAUAACCUGAGAUUCUCAUGACUUUGGGAGAUGGGACUUUAAGAUGAUCAGCAAGUAUUGCAAGGUCUGUGAUAAAAUUGUGGAAGUUAGGAACACUUAUUUUUCUGAUCGCUAGAAAUCUUACGAACCAAUUGUUUGGCACAGGCGGAAGAUGGUAACCAGUACCAACUGACAACUCAUAUCAACACUGCUCUUAUUACUACAAAGGCACCCCUUGCAUCUCAGAGAGAAGACUUGUGGCUGAAAAAGAUACUACAGAAUAUCCACUUUUUCCUCUUGGAAAGAGGAAAUAUAAAACCUUUUUGAAUCUUAUAUGCUAUGUUUCAAUGGGAGCAGAAGUUGAGUUAAAUAUUUUUGAAGACUUAUGAAUUGAAGAUACUGUAUUGGGAACUGGGGGUAAAACUUUCAGAAGUGCCUAUGUCCCUUUUGGAAACUUUAACCUGUGUAUAUGCCUUUCUCACUAUUUACAUUCCACUAGACUCGCUGAAGUUUGAUGGGUAAUGUUUUGUUUUUAAGAACGCAGACUAGGCCAAACCCAAGGAAGAGAGAACAUGUCUGAUGUAUGAGAUGAUUGUACUAAAAUACUGCACCUAGCACUGGGUACUUUAGUUCCAGAGACCUGUCGAACUGGAUUGGUUUAAAAAAAAAAUGGGGAAAGAUGGUUAGAAGAAUAGUGCAAUUGGCUUGUAAGAAAAGAUUAAAUGAGCUAAAUAUGAGUUUGGCAAAGUUAUGAGUAAGGUGGAGACAUUCAGUUCAAGCAUUUGAAGAUUGUAAACUUGAAGGAAUACUUUUUAAUGAGGUAUUAUUAAGUAUAGUGGCAAGAAAUCAAAUAAGUUUAAAUUGAGUAUCAUUGAGCUUUUUUUUUAAAAAGAAAAAAAGAUGCCUUUUGAUCCAGAAUCAGUAGUUUUAAUAUGCUUUAAUUGCUUUUCCUCAACAGUUUUUUCAUGUUUAAACUUUGUUACAGGGCACUCAUUCAGCAGUUAUGUAUAUUGCAUUUGGAAUUUGUCACUUUUUUAAUCUUGACUCAGAUUAAUGUUUUUGAAUUCUCUGAAUUAUAGUAGUUGCAGCCUCAGUAGUUAUGGUUGUAAAACAGUUUCCAGUCUAUAAUCUGUAUCUUUUCACAUGUGCAGAACGCUCAUCUUGCGGGCUAAUAUUUCCCAUGUGUGUUCUUAAAAAAAAAAAAAUCUGCCCUUGGGGCAAAUUUUGAAAUAUGUCCCUUUUCUUUGUGGUAUUAUCCCAUUUUCCACAUCUACAAUAUCACCUUCAUGACAACUCUGUCAUCUUUAGACGUUUUCCCACAGUUCCUUUUGAAGUUCUGACAUCAGUAUAAUUUAUGGGCGGACCCUCUAGUUUCACCCACGCAGUAGUUGGGGUGCAACUGGAUGCAAUAUUAAAGUUGUGUGAUUUAUCUUUGAUCAAGAAUCCUGAGCAAGCUUAUUUGCGGACCAUGGUCAGAAAGCAAUUUAUUAUUGGUCCGUUAGAGACAUUUUAACACAAGAAAUAUCUUAGUGAAACCAAUGCUCAGAAGUUUCAGUAGAAGUUCCUGCCGUGUCUGCAUGCAAGUACAUGAAUUCAAAAAUGGAGAUCUGUUCAGAUGGUUUCUUUGGAGAAGUUUUCCUUGAUAAAUGGAAUAAGUUAUUGAAGAUUUAUUGUUUGUAUUUGAUACAUACCAUUAAAUAUACAGUUGUGCAAUGUGGACAAGGUAGUUGUGACGAUUCCUCCCAUAAGGCUUUAUGGAAAUAUGCUUAUGAAUGUAUGCUACAUAUGCCGUGUAACAUAUCUCUGUAUAAGUUAUGGUCUACUGAAUCUAUUAAUCCUAUUUGUAUGCAUGUAUCAUUUUUGUAUUCGAAGUUAUGAAUAUUGACUGUGUACUGGCUUGAUUUCUAAGUAGCCUUAGUAGAGUAUUUGGUCAGCUUCUUGAGAAAGGAAUGUGCAAAUUAGGUGCCCAAUCAAGAAACACUUAAAGGACAAUGAAUCUUGUAAGGCUCCAAUCCACAUAAGAAGUCUUUCAAGGAGCGAGGACUUUCAAGAAAGCAUGUGAACCAAGGCUGCUAACUGUAAGUUCUGAGUCAUGCAUGGACAUGUGACUUGCCCAUGUGACUCCAAAACUCCAUCUUGGAGUUGGACUUUGCAUAGGAGAGAGGAGGGGGUCUCCACCCCCAAGAGAAAGUUUAUUUAAAGCCUGAGGAGACCCCCUCCAUUUUGUCUUCAGCUGGCUAAAGAGAUAGCCUCUCCACCCCCAAGGAUACUGAAAGAAACUGGAACAAAGGACAGUAACUACAGGGGGUGUGAUUGAUUGCUACACCCAGACUAGAAGGAGACUAGUCUGUAAAAAGAAGCUUACUGGGUGAGGUUUUUAUCUGUAUUCAGUUUUAUUACUGUACUAGUCUUAGACUUGUGGGUUUUAUUUUAUUUUGCUUGGUAAUUCACUUUGUUUUGACUGUUACUACGUGGAACCACUUAAAUCCUACUUUCUGUAUUUAAUAAGUAAAAAGUGAUUUUAUUAA